AGCAGCCGCGGUAAUUCCAGCUCCAAUAGCGUAUAUUAAAGUUGUUGCAGUUAAAAGCUCGUAGUUGAAUUUCGGGGUCAGCAAGUUGGUCGUGCCACCGGUAUGUACUGGCUUUGCUGAUUCCUCCUUCUUGUAGAACCGUAAUGCCAUUUAGUUGGUGUUGCGGGGAAACAGGACUGUUACUUUGAAAAAUUAGAGUGUUUAAAGCAGGCUAACGCCUGAAUACAUUAGCAUGGAAUAAUGAAAUAGGACGAGCGAUCCUAUUUUGUUGGUUUCUAGGAUUGACGUAAUGAUUAAUAGGGAUAGUUGGGGGCAUUAGUAUUCAAUUGUCAGAGGUGAAAUUCUUGGAUUUAUUGAAGACUGACUACUGCGAAAGCAUUUGCCAAGGAUGUUUUCAUUAAUCAAGAACGAAAGUUAGGGAUCGAAGACGAUCAGAUACCGUCGUAGUCUUAACCAUAAACUAUGCCGACUAGGGAUCGGAUGAUG
rnacentral:misc_RNA from 1 species